AGCUGACUAGCCGUGUAGCUGUGUUGCAGUGGCUAUUCUAGCCACUGUAGCUGUGUUAGGGUGGCUAGCUGUGUGUUCACUAAUUGUUCGUAUCUAUAAUUGCUCCUCAGUAUCCAAUCUACGGAGUGCUGCAAGUGUCCCAACUACUCGCAUUUGAAGACCUGCUCGGCUUUACCCAUUGCUUGGCGCAUUACCGAGCACAGUAUCCGUUCAAACGAAAGUCGCGCACAGACCAUGGUCGUCACUGCUUCAUCACGAAGCUACCGCUCCACGAAGUUCUGCCUGUAAACUGCACGUCCAACAGUACGCUCAUUGUUGCUGUCGAUGGAGUCGCCGAGAUACUAGCUGUGCAACGAUAUUUGCGGCGACCUUCAUAUGGCUUCCUUGUCAGCCGCACGAAAUGCGUGCUUCGUGUGUGAUGGUUCCCUGCAGUGCGCCUGAAGAAAUACCGUACGCAAGGACCAGAAAGGAGAGUCCACGAAGAUUACCAGUUUCUUCUCAAGUUGACCUUUGCCAGUCUUCAAGUACAUCUUGCGCCCUAUUUACUGAUGCUCGCGUGUUGUUUGUGGAUAUGGCACGGUCUGUCACUUUCACUGCCGAUCUUAGAGAACUGAGUGUACGAGGAUUACUGCCUUCAUUCGAACCUUGCCUCUGUAUAGCAGUGUCUGUGCUUUUUGCCUUCUUCAUUAUUGCUUGCAUGGUCGCUUGUUAUGGCCACACUUUUUGUCAGUUAUUUCACUGUCAUGUUUGGUAGAAAUGGAGGUCAAUGAUUGUGUUGUACCUGGGUGUGAAAGGGUCCUCAAGACGGUAUUUUCGUUUUUCAUUAGACCACUACUAGAGCAAAUCAUUGGCAGCAUAAUUCAAUCGAGACAACCUUUAUUAACGAAGCUACGAGUAAUAUAUAGGUACCCUCCUCUUCCACUCCACCUUUCACCCACAGCUACCUCAACUCUUCAAGCGUCAAGCUCUGCCUUCACAGGGCCUGCCCCCACGCAUUUCACAGCCAAUCCUAGCAGCAGCCAUGGUGACGUUAAGUGGGCAGAGCCUGCCGCUCUGUGAAUGGGCGGUUGAAAACGCAUUUGGCCGUGCUGCAGUAAUCUGCAGUGAUUCGCAGCUUUAAAGCACUGUGAUAAAUUACCCAAUUUAUGCAGAGAGCUCAAAUCGGUUUGUAAAUGACUCUUGGGAAUCGGUCUAUCGGCCUAAUGUGUUUGUACAAAAUCGUCGAAACUGUUUCAGGGUCGCUUAACUGUUCCUCGGCUAGCAGCCUGAAGCCACAAAAUUUUAGUCUCCUGCAAGGGCCGGUACAGGAAAAAAAAUUUCAGCAGGUUGGAGGUUGAACUAAAUGUCUGCUAACAUUGUUAUUCGAAGGAGGGCCCUUGCCACAUUUCAUGUCUGGGUCAUUUCUGAAGGGGAUUUUCUGCAUGAAUUCGAAAAACGUAUUGAUACUGGUCUUUGAAAUGUCUGAAAUCUGAACCCCAAUUUUUUGUUCCAAGGGAGUGUUUCAAAAACACGGGGACUGCGAGGGGUACACAAAAAAAUUUUUUUUUCAAGGCUAUUCGUGCAUAACUGAUGAAAAUGCUCAUUAAGGAAAUAAGUAUCGCAUGAAGAAAGUGACAUGCUGGCCGAGCCAACUGCAAAAGUUCUGUGGACUGUCUGUUUGACACACCUGGUGUAGUAAUCGCAUAGUGUUCACGUCAUCAUCUGAUUAGUGCCUUAAACUGACAUUUUAGCAUCACCUGCUCGUGUGGCUACUUGAGAAAGUCUUUCAAGCUGAAUGUUCUGUGAAAAGUGCUGUGGGUCCACCAGAAUUGAUGAUGACACCCUCUAGUUUAAGUGUUAGAGGGACACUAAAGAGCAGAGCAAUUUUUCGCGUGUUAGUGAGGUACGAAUCCCAAAAACACCACUCUUACUGCGACUCUACGCUUGGUAAGCGAGAAAAUGCGCCAGAAGGAUAUGCAAAAGAAGACGCCACCAUGAGAUUCCUGCACCAAGAACCGUGAUGUAGUAAAUUUUGAAGGCUUCUACUGGAUCCUGUAUAGCUUCUACUCGAUAAAAAUGAAGUACAUUGUUAUCUGUGUGUGCUAUAGAUUCAGCAUAUGAAGUUUAGGAAAAUUUCAUGGAGCCAAUGUUGCGAAAAUAUGAAAUAUAUAUUUAGUAACUUGUUACGCCACUCGCGGAGAUUUCGACACAGAAUUUUUAAAAAUAAAACUUCUACUUUGAUUUUCUCUGCCGAUAAUGAACUUGCGACAGUCAAAGUCAGGGCAUUAGCGUUCUCAGAGUGAAAUUUAUCAAUCUAGACCGAGCCAUUGUUUCUCUUUAGUGUUCCUUUAACGACGCAUGAGAUGUGUGUGACGUUUAAGAAAAGUAAGUUUAUGCAAGACCAUGCAGUAUUGAAAGAAUGCCCAGAGAUGCGAUGAUUAAUCUCUUAUAGUUCUAUCUGGUAUCCACAUGCUUAAAGUUGAAGUUUUUGGUGUUUAAAAGCAAAACAUAGUGCUUGCAUUGCUCCGGCAGAGUAGCUGUGGAGUAAGCUGGCUUGUACGGUACUCUUAGAUUGAAACACGAAAUUUUAGGGCUGACUACAUACAGUUCAUGUCACAUUUUUACUUGGAACAUUGGAUCAAAGACAACAUUACCUAUAGCGGCCAGAGGUGCUCUGACAUGAUGUGCUUAUCACAAAUAAUUGCUCAUAGAUGUCGUUGCUCUAAAAACAAAAAGAAGAAGCGCAUUCGUGCAAAUGUGUAAAGACCUUGUGAGAGUAAGAGAAACCAGAAUACAGGAGUGCAGACCUGUACACUCACACCUCAUUAUAACAAAGUUGCGUCUUACACGAAAAUAAGUUUGUUAAAUCAGAAAAUUUGUUAUAAAGAUGUUUUCUUAACAGUAUGUCUAUUGUAAGUAUAUUUUUCCUUUACUUCGUUAUAACUGAUAUUUCGUUAUAUCCGGGUUCGUUAUAUCGAGGUUUGAGUGUGGCACUUCAGCGGCUUGUGUUAUCUAGACUGCUCUUUGUUUUGUUUUUUUCACUGUCACCAAGUGGUCAAACCAGUGGGUAUGAACACAAUCUAUAGGCACGAGCUCAUUAGAGGUGCCAGCAACACUUGGUAAUUAAUUCUAUGACAGCUGUUGUGUUAAGCCCCAGUUCCACAUGAAAAACAUGUGACGUAGAUGUGUUCCAUGUGCAGACAUGUUUUUGCAGACUCCAUUGUCAUGUUCACUAUAGCUCCGACUGUGACUGCCCCUCCCCUUCUCCUUUUUUUAACGAGUAGCACUGCUGUCUUCACAGCUGGGACUGAGUAAUUAGUGUACUGGUGUAUUAUUUAUGUUUGAAUGUGCCAGUUUUUGUUUGGAUAGAAAUUAUGGUGACUUCUUGACAUUAUGCUUCCUGGUGCAUACCUGUUCUGUUUUUUAUCUGCAAUAGGGUUUGAACGUGAAUUUAUUUGUGCCUUGAUAUCUAAAGUCGGCUCUCUCUCGCAAUAUCAGCAAGCUUGCCAGCAAGCCAGGUUCAGCUGUUACUAGUAUCUUAAUACUGCAAACAUCUCGACAUCCUAUUUCUCUCUGACGCCGUCAAUAACAGUGUUAAUCAAAACACCAGUGCUGCGUUAGUGCACUUAAUACAUGGGUAUGUACCAGAUGGUCCUUUUCGAUAAAAGCCAAGUGUUUAGUUGAAACCUAACAGAUAAGGCGAACUGUUCUCGCCGUUUGCCUUUUUAGCACAGUAGUUACCCAAUGGUUGUGUAGACAUAGCAGUCUGUUCUCUAACAUAGACAAUAUUGUUUAAUAAAAGUGUUCAUUGUUCU